rnacentral:rRNA from 1 species
GACAGAGGGGGCAAGCGUUGUCCGGACUGACUGGGCGUAAAGGGCGCGCAGGCGGGCGCGGGCGUCGGUGCUGAAAGCUCCCCGCUUAACGGGGGAGGGCGUGCCGAUACGCCGCGCCUGGAGGGCGAGCGAGGGCGGUGGAAUUGCCGGUGUAGUGGUGAAAUGCGUAGAGAUCGGCAGGAACACCCGUGGCGGAAGCGACCGCCUAGCUCGUUGCUGACGCUGAGGCGCGACAGCGUGGGGAGCGAACGGG